rnacentral:tRNA from 1 species
ACAGUCGUGGCCGAGUGGUUAAGGCGAUGGACUUGAAAUACAUUGGGAUCUUCCCGCGCAGGUUCGAAUCCUGCCAACUGCG